rnacentral:rRNA from 1 species
CAGGUAGGUGGUCUGAUUUGUCUGGAGGUGAAAGCCUUGGGCUUAACCCAAGAAGUGCCCCGGAAACGGUCAGACUUUGAGUCUUGGAGAGGGUUGCGGAAUUCCCGGUGUAGCGGUGAAAUGCGUAGAGAUCGGGAGGAACACCAGAGGCGAAGGCGGCAACCUGGACAAGCACUGACACUCAACUGCGAAAGCGUGGGGAGCAAACAGGAUUAGAUACCCUGGUAGUCCACGCCGUAAACGAUGGGUACUAGGUUUGGUGGGUCUUGACCCCCGCCGAACCGGCGCUAACGCACUAAGUACCCCGCCUGGGAAGUACGGUCGCAAGACUAAA